rnacentral:rRNA from 1 species
AUGGCCGUCCUCGCGAGUAGGCACAUAAAGAUCUCCCCGGCGUGUCCGGUUUGUAACAAAUGUCUGGAGGAUAUUAAGCACCUGCUCUUCACUUGUUCGCGAGCAGCCCAGGUUUGGCGUGCUCUUGGACUGGACACCACCAUUGAAGAAGCAGCGAAAGUUGAUCGUUCUGGUUCAGUGGUACUCGAGGAAAUCUUACGACGACCAAAAGGCUCGUCUCCGGUUCUGGGUCAGAUUGGUCUCCACGAAACAGUGGCAGUUGCUUCAUGGCCUGCCCAGAGGUCGAGGAACGAGGCGCUCCUCUACAUCCGUGCCGUCAAGGAUAGUUUCAGGGACAAACCUGACAAGUUUGAGGAGUUCUUGGCGCUCCUGCACGGAGUCAGUAGCAAGAGGAUCGAUGCUCGAGCCUUCACCAGCGCCUUGGAGGUCCUGUUCGACGGGCGCCCGGAACUCAUCCGUCAGUUCAACACGUUCAUGGCAUCGCGUUGGUGGCUAGGCAAUGGUGGAUACGCAGGACAUGUAGUAGGCGAGAGAGCAGUCGGCGAGUAA